GUGUUGUAUGAAAGGAGGGAAGGUUAGCACUCCGGAGCACUGACAACAAUGGAAGAGGCCCUUGGGCCUAACAACAUGCAUACGGUUAAGGCACGGCCACCUACUUUGUGGCACUAAAGAGAGA
rnacentral:ncRNA from 1 species